AAAGCUGACGUAAAAUUACUUGGGGAGGUUGGCAUGGUGGGUUGAUUCUUGGAGAAGGGGCAAAGCAAAAAGGCUUGGAAAAUACGAAACGCCAACUGAAUUUCCUACACCAAACAACCCUUUAUAACCUUCACAUCACACAACCCAACCCAACCCAAAAAACCCUCAAUCUCCAUUGACCCAUUCUCUCAUCUCUCUCUCCCCAGAAAUUCAUAUCUGCAACAAUCAAGUCCAAUUUUGAGCCAAUUUUGAAUUUUGAAAUACAACCAGAAAUGGGUAUAAUCAAAACCACUUUCACAUUCAUGAUGGGAACAAUCUGUGGAAUCUAUAUUGCCAGAACCAGAAUUACAACAUACCCAACAUCAGAAAACUCGCCGUGCAAGUUUAGGAGAGCUAUCGCAAACCAAAGAACAACAAAUACGACGACCUCGAUCAAUGAAUCAUUGGUUUAGAGACACUCAGGAUAAAAAAAUACCCCAUUUGUCUGUUAUUCUUAUUAUGUGCAAGAUGAUUCAUAUGCUAUAUGUUGUGUGUUUUUUAGGGUUUUGCUUUGCUGCUUAAUUUCAGUGAUUUCCGGUUUAGGCGGUGUUGGAAAUAAAUGGGUUUUUUGUUUCUGUUUUGUUGGUGCUUAAUUUUAAUUUGAUUUGACCCGUUGGUACUUUGAGAGACUGUAGUUUGUAUUAUGAAUAUUUGACUCAUUUGGAUUUUAUUGGGAAUUUCCAACCCAUUUUGCUUGAUUUGGUUGCUCAUUUUUUGCAAACUCAUUUCCCACAACAAAACUCACUUCAGCUACUAAAAAAAAAAUUUCAAAAUUCAAAAAUAAAUAAUAAUAAAUAACCCUUAAGAAUGUGCUGAACAAACUAAUUUUUUAACAUUAGCUUCUUUUGUAUUCAACUCGUGACGUUGAUUAUCCGUUUUUUUAGUUAAUUGUAUUCAACUCAUUACUUUUACUACCCGUAGCAGAAGUCAAGGAUCGAAACCUAUGGUGUACCAUUGGCUCAGGAUUCAUUCCUCACUGUAAUUUGAAGCGACUCCUGAGAUUUGCCCAGUAUAUCAGAGAUUAUUUGGGGCCAAGCUAUAGACACCCCUGUGAUAAAAAAAAAUAAAACAAAAAAUAAAGAAACAUUUAAUUCAAUUCGACGAUCGUUUUUCUUGACUCAAAAACUGUAAAGCAACAGCUCAUCCAGUGAUCUUUGACUACAAGAAAUUGUGGCAGAAAAAUACUUGGUUACCAUGACAAAGCUACAAUGAAGCAUGUGGUGGCAUAAUCACACAAGGUAGAAAUCUUGAAGAACAUUUGAAAAUGCUAUAGUGCAAAUACUAACCAUUGUGGCAGAUUAGUACUCGGGACAAUGGCAAGGUUCAGGUUGGUAUGCCAAAAUUUUUAGAAUUCUGUAAUAGUUUAACAUUAAUUCGUUACGGGUUAUUUAAGAUCAUGUGCUAAGAGGUGUUACCAUAAUUCACCAAAAGUAGCAUUGAUUACAAAUAACAAGUUACAACUAAGUAAGUAUGUGAUAGAGGCUCAAAUGUAUGUGAAAUGAAUUCCUUUAAAACAUGCAGCUUCUAAGUAUGUGGUUGAAAACUUAAUAUACAUGCGUAUAUGUAAGGCUUUACAAUGCAACAAUGAAAGCUUUAACUAUGAAAGCUAAGAGAUGCACUGAUUUUCAAAACACAAGAGCCCUAAUUUAAUCCUUAACUUGAAGAAAAAUGAGAAGAAGAGAGGGGAGGAGAUGGCCAAAACAGAAUCUUAAUGUGUGAUUGCUGUGGAUAAACCACUAGGAUCGCAAGUACACAGCCAUAAUUACUGGACUCCUGAAACUUCUCAAUAUAUCAAAUACGGAAAUGUUUAUAUCAUUGUUCUACUGUCGCUUGAGACCCAUUGCGAAAGUCCCUAGAGACCCAAAUUUUCUGCUUGCAAAGUUGGACAGUCGGGACAACACUUGGCAGCACUCGGUGGUAGUUUGUCAAAUAUAACACAACUGAAUAUGACAAUGGGAGUCAUGUGACAACAGAAUUUCAAGACGGAUCAUAUGCCAUCAUCCAUUUUACUGGGUAAUGCUCUAGUAUGGAGGUUGAGAGGAAGGAGCUAAAAACACUGAAUGGCAAGAAGUUGCAAAGAGAAGGCAAACGACAAGGUUGAGCCUCCCACGUCAAAUAAGUUGUCUGUUGAUGAAAUCUUGAAGGAUAAUUGUGCCUCUAUUAGCACCAACAUGUUUGAAGUCCUUGAGUCUUCAACACGAAAUGGUUAAUGCUUGUACUCCAUGGACAAGUGUGGAAGAUGUGGCUAGUCAUCCCCCUCUGAGAGGGGCUUCAGUGGAAAAAUGAGAAUACCAUGACCAUGUUUUCAUUUCUUGGAAUGUGAGAGGCUUUUUGUUGUGUAAGGCCAGCCUCCUCUGUGGUUGUGUAUUGAACUUCAUUGUAUAUCUUUUUCGUUUUUUGUUUUUUGUCAUCUUUUUUUUUUUUUUUUUGGUUGGAAAAACAUGAGAAUCAGCUGUUGUUGUUGCUCUUCAAGUGUAUAUCCACGACUUUAACUU